rnacentral:snRNA from 1 species
UUUAAAAACGGUCCGGUUACGGU